UACGUAGGUGGCAAGCGUUGUCCGGAUUUAUUGGGUUUAAAGGGUGCGUAGGCGGUCUAUUAAGUCAGCGGUGAAAUACUCCAGCUUAACUGGAGGGGUGCCAUUGAUACUGAUGGACUUGAGUCAAGUCGAGGUAGGCGGAAUUGACGGUGUAGCGGUGAAAUGCUUAGAUAUCGUCAAGAACACCAAUAGUGAAGACAGCUUACUGGGCUAAACUGACGCUGAGGCACGAAAGUGUGGGAUCAAACAGG
rnacentral:rRNA from 1 species